CAAAGGUUUCAAGGGCAUCGACGAUGGCGGAAACCGAGAAACCGAACGGUUUGAAGGAGUUAUUGAAUUGAAACCAUUUCAUUAGAGGUGCUCAGAAGCUGAGUUUGGACGUAGGUUGCCUAGCUGACCGGUUGAACCGUAAGACAGGAAGGAUCAGAGAACCCGGGGUGGCUAACCCGGCGUGUUUAGUAACUGAUUGUGUGUGAACUGAAAGCUUGAGAUUAUGAGAGCUAGUAAGCAUUACAUCAUGCGUACCUUGUACCAUUGGGGUAGAUGCCCUAAUAAAGGUGAGUUAUCGUGGGUUUCACGAAAUACCUCUGAGAUCCUCGGCUUGCACUUAUAGAAGUCUGUUCUGCACUGGGAGGUGGAUAUCGUGCUAGUCGAUAAGGCUUAUCGUGUCUGUCCGGGGUGGGAUGAGGAUAAGACCCACAGUCAUGUGGCGUGAUCCCGAAGAGCUCGGAGACAGCUUGCAUGCUUCUAGAAAUUGGCUACGUGUCACCUCGGUAGUUUGGAGCACCACGAGCUGCUUGGACUUCAGUCCUAGCCGAGGUGACCUGUCCUACUGAGGUGGCAAAAAGUGCUGAGUUGAUGUCCAGUCAUCAGGUCACAUUCAUGUGUCCACUGUUUACUAGGUCGGGCCAAAUCACCCCUCAUCAGUUUCCUUCCAAAUAAAAUAGCCAAUACAAACAACAAAGGAAGCAGGAAAUUGAACUACCAAUAUCUAUUUAACCCAAUAAGGAUGCCAGUUUGCUUAGCGCAUGAGGUUAUUGACUUAUCGAUAUACUUAACACAACUUGUAUUUUCAAUUCCGUCUUCACCAACUUUGCUGCUAACUAAUGGCUUUUCUUGCCUACAUGGUAAGAAACAAUUUAAAGCAUUUAGAUGUCCUUUCUUUUUGUCAUAUCUGUGUACCUUAUACCUUUUGUCCUUUCUUUUAUGCUUACAUUCUUCUUUUUAAUUCAAUUAACAAUUAAAAUGUUGUUUCUUAUCAAAGAAAAAGGGAUAAACGGAAUAUACACUAACAAAAGCUGGGAAAUGGUGACAAGGGAGAUCCAGGGGUAUGCUCAUGUUCAUGCCUAAGUGAUGUUGGAAAUGAAUAACUAUCAAAGCUUGUAAGUGAACUCCAGUCAAGGUUAGAAGAUGUAAAAGCAGAGCAAUAUCAGGGCGAGAGGUGGGGCUGCAAGGUUAACCUUUCUGCAUACUACCAUGAAGAAAAUUAACCUUUCUUCAUAAUGUGUAGGCUGCAAGGGAGAUAGAAAAGCUUACAGCUGAAAAUACAAAGCUCCAGUAUCGAAUAAUCCAUCUGGUUCGGUCACUGACGGAGGCAGACUGCAAGAUUGGAGAGACCAAUGCACUAGCUGUAGUUACAUAAUGGCAUUGACACUUGAUAGUUUGAUUAGCAUUCCCACAGAAAUUACAAAUAUUUGUUCAAUCCUUAAACAUUAAUGCAUUAAAUCAUGAGAUUUUAACAUAUUCAA